AAUGCUCAUGGUACAUCUUCUACAAGAUUCUUUCGAUAGGCAUCUCCAGGCUUUGCCCUCACCAACUGAGCGAUUGACUAAAGCAAGACAAAUCUUGACCUUAAGGAUUCAUGGUCAGCUCAAGCUCUUUCAAAGUGGAACAGACAUGCUAAUAAUUAAGGCUUUGGUCUGCUUUUGCUGCUGAUGACCUGCACCUGCGACUCUUCUUCAGCGCAUUGCCACAUUGACGAGUACUGGGAGUUUACAACCGUCUGGAGGCCAUCACCCAGUGACCGGAAUGUCAGUGCAGCUCUCCUGCCCAGGGUGGUGUGACUCUGAGGCAAAAUGAGCCCUGCUGAGCUCCCCUCCUGCAUCAGGACUUUGCCUGAAAUCCCACCAUCGCUUGUCUCCUUCCUCUUGCCUCUCCUAUUUCUGCAACUUGAUCACUGGUUUCUCUUGGGAGCUUCUCCUUCAUACAUUACUUGCACAUAAAUUCUCAUCUCAAGAUGAAAGAACUUGAUCUAGGAUAACUUACUGGGAUCUGACCUUAGGAAAAGUGACUUACAAGGAAGCUUAUUUUCCUCAUCUGGAGAAGGAAGAUGGUAACAUCUACCACACAAGGUUACUGGAUCAUAGUAUUUAUUCAAUAAAUGGUAGCAGUUAUUUCUAAGUACA
rnacentral:lncRNA from 1 species